UGGGCUCUAGUAAUCAGAUGCUUAGAACA
rnacentral:piRNA from 1 species